rnacentral:lncRNA from 1 species
UGCAGCUAGCAAAUCUCAACAUACGCGUACGGUACCCAAAUGUCUUUUCCGCAGGCUCAUCUCCACACAGACGAAUGUAAUGAAUUUGCAAAUGCAUAUUUCACUUGUAUCAACGAACAUGGCUAUAUCAAGUGGCUUGGACAUUGUGAAGACUACUACCUUAAGAUGAAGAAGUGUUUCAAAAAAGAGCUUAUGUAGUCAGAAUUGCCCGAUAAUUAUUCACAACAAU